GGUUCGAUUAUGGCUCGAUUGAACGCUGGCGGGAUGCUUUACACAUGCAAGUCGAACGGCAGCACGGACUUCCGGUCUGGUGGCGAGUGGCGAACGGGUGAGUAAUGUAUCGGAACGUGCCUAGUAGCGGGGAUAACUACGCGAAAGCGUAGCUAUCACCGCAUACGCCCUUCGGGGGAAAGCGGGGACCUUUCGGGCCUCGCACUAUUAGAGCGGCCGAUAUCGGAUUAGCUAGUUGGUGGGGUAACGGCUCACCAAGGCGACGAUCCGUAGCUGGCUGGAGAGGACGACCAGCCACACUGGGACUGAGACACGGCCCAGACUCCCCACGGGAGGCAGCAGUGGGGAAUUUUGGACAAUGGGGAAACCCUGAUCCAGCCAUCCUGGCGUGUGGGUGAUGAAGGCCUCGGGUUGUAAAGCACUUUGGCAGGAAAGAAACGGCACGGAUAAUACCCCGUGCAACUGACGGUACCUGCAGAAUAAGCACCGGCUAACUACGUGCCAGCAGCCGCGGUAAUACGUAGGGUGCAAGCGUUAAUCGGAAUUACAUUGGGCGUAAAGCGUGCGCAGGCGGGUUCGGAAAGAAAGAUGUGAAAUCCCAGAGCUUAACUUUGGAACUGCAUUUUUAACUACCGAGCUAGAGUGUGUCAGAGGGAGGUGGGACUCCCGCGUAGCAGUGAAAUGCGAUAUGCGGAGGAACACCGAUGGCGAAGGCAGCCUCCUGGGAUAACACUGACGCUCAUGCACGAAAGCGUGGGGAGCAAACAGGAUUAGAUACCCUGGUAGUCCACGCCCUAAACGAUGUCAACUAGCUGCUGGGGCCUUCGGGCCUUGGUAGCGCAGCUAACGCGUGAAGUUGGACUGCCUGGGGAGUACGGUCGCAAGAUUAAAACUCAAAGGAAUUGACGGGAGCACAAGCGGUGGAUGAUGUGAUUAAUUCGAUGUAACGCGAAAACCUUACCUACCCUUGACAUGUCUGGAAUCCCGAAGAGAUUUGGGAGUGCUCGCAAGAGAACCGGAACACAGGUGCUGCAUGGUUGCCGUCAGCUCAGGCCGUGAGAUGUUGGGUUAAGUCCCGCAACGAGCGCAACCCUUGUCAUUAG
rnacentral:misc_RNA from 1 species